rnacentral:misc_RNA from 1 species
GAACGCAUAUUGCGCUCUUUGGUAUUCCGAAGAGCAUGCUUGUUUGAGUAUCAGUAAACACCUCAAAACUCUUGAUCUUUUUCAAGCGUUUUGGACUUGAGCAAACCCAACGCCUUUUCUUUUAAGAUCUGUUGCGGCGGGUUGUUUGAAAUGCCGGCGCAGCUUGACAAUCUCCUGAGCUAAAAGCAUAUUUAUUUAGUCCCGUCAAACGGAUUAUUACUUUUUGCUGCAGCUAACAUAAAGGGAGUUUUGACCAUUAUGGCUGACUGAUGCAGGAUUUCACAGAGAAAAGGCCGGCAACGGUUUUGUCUCUGUCAAACUCGAUCUCAAAUCAAGUAAGACUACCCGCUGAACUUAAG